rnacentral:tRNA from 1 species
GGGGCUGUAGCUCAGUGGUAGAGCGCUCACCUAGCAUGUGUGAGGCCCUGGGUUCGAUCCGCAGCACCA